GGUGAGGUGGCCGAGUUGGUUAUGGCGCCAGGUUAAGGUCACCUUAACGACAUUCCUGGUGGGGCAACCCGCGCGAGUUCAAGUCUCGUCCUCAUCA
rnacentral:tRNA from 2 species